rnacentral:lncRNA from 1 species
AAGGAAAGGUAAAGUGUGUUUACAUGCACAUAUCAGCAAGGAAAGGUAAAGUGUGUUUACAUGCACGUAUCACCAAAGAAAGGUAAAGUGUGUUUACAUGCACAUAUCACCAAAGAAAGGUAAAGUGUGUUUACUUAUAUCGUCAAAGAAAGGUAAAGUGUGUCUACUCAUAUCACCAAAGAAAGGUAAAGUGUGUUUACUCAUAUCAUCAGAGAAAGGUAAAGUGUGUUUACUCAUAUCAUCAAAG